CCGGCGAGCUUGCGGGCGGGGGUGUGGGGGGAGGCCGCCGCUCUUAUCUGGGUCACUGGGGUUAGAGGGAGCAGCUGAUAGAAACAGAGGAGCUGAGCUCCCGCUGCUGCAGAGAUAGAGCCGCGAUAUGGGCCAAGCAGGCACCGAGCUGGAGGAAGGGCGGGAGGGAGGGAAAGAGGGAGGAGGAGGCGGCGGCUCGUUCCGGCUCCCGAGCCGAGCCCAGGUGCGCUGUGGUUUCCCUGCGCUCAGCGCUGUGCUCGGCGGCCCCCCUUCCCUCGCUCCCCAUCCCCCGUCCUCCUCCCCGUCUCCCUCCAACGUUUAACCCUUUCCCACCUCCGCAGGGCUGGAGGCUGAGGCGUGCGUUGGCCCGGCCGCGUCCCCUGCGGUUCCCCACUCCCUCCGUGGCAGAGACUGAUCACGGUGGGGGAGAAGCGGGGGGGCCCGGGGGGUUUGGCCUUGUGCUGCCGAGCACCGCCCUCGGGCAGCUCCCGGGACCCGGCUUUGUACACACACACACACUCACGCACGCACACACACACCCAGCUGCGCUGAGCCGAGCCAGCCCCGGGCCAGCCACCGCCUGCCGCCGCCGCUGCCCGUGCGGCCGAUCUCGGUUACAGCCAGCCACCCAGCGGGGUUGGCUGCUGCAGCCGCCGCCUUCCUCCUCCUCCCCGGUCCCCGCCGCCCUUUUCCUUCCUGCUCGGGCUGAGCUGCCCCGGAGCUCCCCUGGCUCGCCGGCGGCGGCCAGUCCCCGCUCCCGGGCCGCUGCCGGCGGGGAGGCGGAUGCGGAGCGCCCGGGUAGGGGAAGGGCUCUCCGAGCGCCCCCAUCUCGCGCCCAGCCCUUUAAUCAAUUUCACCCUAUUAAUUAUUAAUUUUACGCCAGUCAAGCUUGCCCAGGAAGAGCGAGGAGGGGGAGGGGAGGCUGAUGUCAGUCGGAGGCGGCGGCGGGGCCGUGUGCCAGGCUCCGCGCACAGCCCCGGCCCAGCAAGUUUCGGCUUCGCUGGCUCGGGCAGCUCCGUUCGCCGAGAACCGGGGGAGGCGGCGAUUCCCAUUCCGGACUCGAAAGCGAUGGUGCAGCGAGCUGCCUCCUUAUCUCGCCCUUCGCUGCUACUUUAACUCCUUCCGCCAGGCCCAGCACAGGGCUCCAAAGAUUUAACCCUUUGCUUGAGGCUUGAGGUGGGUGAAGCAACAAAAGCAGACCGUGAAAGCCUUGGACUGAAAAAAAAACCACCAAAAACAACCAAAAAACGCACCUCAACACAAGCUCAGCGAGAAGUCAGUAAAACGCACCGUUACACACACACAGCGACGUGGUUUGGCUUUAGGGAAGACAAGGCGGGGGGGGGGAAGCGCGAGAGAGACGUAGCCUCGCUCUCCACCGCCCCCCGGUUCUGCCAGCCCCUCGCCUGGUGCCUGCAGUUGCACUCUGAGUAAAUAGUUCCCACACAUGGUCCACAUUUUGCACAGCAGCAGCGUGUUUCCUCUCGGUCUCUCAUUGCUGCUCUCCGAGCAAAGGAAAUAAAAGAGAGGGAGAGAGCUUUAGAGGAAGUUAAAAAUCAGA